rnacentral:rRNA from 1 species
GACGAACGCUGGCGGCGUGCUUAACACAUGCAAGUCGAACGGAAAGGCCCUGCUUUUGUGGGGUGCUCGAGUGGCGAACGGGUGAGUAACACGUGAGUAACCUGCCCUUGACUUUGGGAUAACUUCAGGAAACUGGGGCUAAUACCGGAUAGGAUCUCCUGCUGCAUGGUGGGGGUUGGAAAGUUUCGGCGGUUGGGGAUGGACUCGCGGCUUAUCAGCUUGUUGGUGGGGUAGUGGCUUACCAAGGCUUUGACGGGUAGCCGGCCUGAGAGGGUGACCGGCCACAUUGGGACUGAGAUACGGACCAGACGCCUACGGGAGGCAGCAGUGGGGAAUAUUGCACAAUGGGCGGAAGCCUGAUGCAGCAACGCCGCGUGCGGGAUGACGGCCUUCGGGUUGUAAACCGCUUUCGCCUGUGACGAAGCGUGAGUGACGGUAAUGGGUAAAGAAGCACCGGCUAACUACGUG